AGGACGAACGCUGGCGGCGUGCUUAACACAUGCAAGUCGAACGGAAAGGCCCGCUUGCGGGUACUCGAGUGGCGAACGGGUGAGUAACACGUGGGCAACCUGCCCUCAGCUCUGGGAUAACUCCGGGAAACCGGUGCUAAUACUGGAUAUCGACUGCUGCCUCGCAUGGGGUGUGGUUGAAAGUUUUUCGGCUGGGGAUGGGCCCGCGGCCUAUCAGCUUGUUGGUGGGGUGAUGGCCUACCAAGGCGACGACGGGUAGCCGGCCUGAGAGGGCGACCGGCCACACUGGGACUGAGACACGGCCCAGACUUCUACGGAAGGCAGCAGUGGGGAAUAUUGCGCAAUGGGCGGAAGCCUGACGCAGCGACGCCGCGUGAGGGAUGACGGCCUUCGGGUUGUAACCUCUUUCAGCUCUGACGAAGCGUGAGUGACGGUAGGAGCAGAAGAAGCACCGGCCAACUACGCGCCAGCACGCCGCGGU
rnacentral:rRNA from 1 species